rnacentral:lncRNA from 1 species
CCCACCAGAUUUUUCUUCUUCAUCAUCCAUGCUUCAUGCCAUUCUUGAAGCUUCCAUGCCAUUUUCUCUUUAUCCACCAUGAAAUCAAGUUUUUUUCACUUUCCUUUCCAUGUUUUCUUUUCCUUUCUUCUCCAAACUUCUUGAGUACUAAAUUUACAGCCUUUAACCCCAAUUUCCAGCACAUCAAAACCCUAGGAGGAGAAGCAAAAAAAGAGAGAAAGGAAGAAAAAAGCUUAGUUUUGGUGAUUUAAGUAAGGAAAGGUAAGGAUUCUUGUUUUUGGCUUGAGUAGUUUUUGAAAAUGAGUUAGUGACUUAGAGAAAUGUCUUGUGGCAGCAAAGAUUGGCUUGAUUGGAGAAAAAUUGGUAACAUGUAAGCCAAUAAACCCAUGGGUACAUGAAGGACUCAAAGUGGAAAAGGAAAACGGUAAGCUUAACACUAUGUUUUAAAGCCUCCAGUUAGUUGAAUAUUGUGAGGAAUUAUGGUUGUUGAAAGGAUCUAUUUGCCUAAGCUAGUUGAAAAUUAUUAAGAUUGUAUGGCAUGUUGUUUGAAAGAAAUGAAAAAGGAAUAUUGUGGAUGGAGGAUUGAGAAACAAAGUAUUGAAAGUUAGAUAGAUAACGAUGUAUGUAAAGUAGGAAAUAAUUGAGUGAAAGUGAGAAUGAUUGUUGCUGCCAUAUAUGUGGAUUAUGUGUGGAAAUAUAAGAUGGAUUUGGGCGAAAAUUAUUUAGAAAAGUUGAAGUAGGCAUGUGGCAUCAUAAAUAAGUUACCGGAAAUAUAAAAUAAGGAAUUACGUAAGCAACAGAUAUAAGUAAUUUCAGUAUAAUGUAUUAAGCUGUGAGUUAAUUGAAGAUGGUUUCAUGAUACGGUGAAAAAUUUAAAUUUAAAUAAGGAUUAAUUGAUUGAAGUGCUACCCAUACACAUAUGUAAUUAAAUAUAUUGAGUUGGUAUUGUUACUAGGAAGUGCAAAGGCAAGGUUAGUGUCACGACCCGGAACUCCCAUCGAGCCCGUGACAACCGCCGCGACGUCUCAAUUUACAUUCAUUACCCGGAAUGUCAACCGAGACCCCGCAAGGCUUUAAUAUCAGCUUCUCAUUUCCCCUGUGGGUAACUGUUUCCAAAUACCACAUUUUAAAAGAUUUUAAACUGUUUCCAACUUAAACAAAUGAAAUAAUAAUUUCCGUCUCACAGGGGUAUUUUUGUCAUUUAUCCCAAAAAUCUCAAAAAUCAUCUAAAAAUAUAGUAUGUAAGUGGAAAACACAUAUUUCUUAAUCAAAAAUAAUUUUGGAUGUCUAAAACAUUCGUUUAAAAUGGAAUUAUGACUGUUAUAAUAAAAUAAAAAUAUUCAAUAAAAUAUUCAAUUUUCACAUAAAACGAUAUUUUAAGAACACUGCAUAAAUAAUUUUUAUAGCGUAAAAGCAAAAUAAAUUCUUACAUACCGUAAUACAGAUAACCAAAGUAUAGAAUUUAAUUUACAGUGACACGUGGGCCCACGAAUGACCAAAAGUAUCAAAAGAAAUGAACCUACAGUCUUUGGAUGUGGCAAGUUCAACUGUAAUCCUCGCCGAUAUCAGUUAUCUACAAUCUAUUCUGAGCCUGAAAUGGGUGGAAAUGAGGGUGGUGAGAUUAUAAAAUCCCAGUGAGUAAACAAACAUCACUCAAAAUAUCUAAAGUCGAGUAAAAGGAGACUAUUAAAACAUUUCAUCAAACUGUAAUUUAUCAUCUUUCAACUUAUUUCAACCAAAUGAAAUCAAUUUAUUUAAAGCAAGUAAUCAGUAUGGCUUAUGAAUUUCUUAAAAAGCUUGGCUCAUGCCAAAAAUUAUUAUCAUACUCAGUUAUUUGGGAUACCUUGGCCGAGGGCUAUCCCAACUGAGUCCGCCAAGGCUAUUAGAAAGUCAUGUUUUUAUUUUGAAAACAUAGCCAUUCCUUGACGUUGGCCGAGUUCCCCUUCACGAGGUGGUUUGGCGUGAAGUGAACUCUAAAAGUUAUACCUCAGGAGUUACCCUACUCGCCUCUCCAACCGAGGUAAAAAUAUAACAGGAUUCCGUGCCCCUCUAAUAGGCUAGUCCACAGAAUCCAGCCCACUGCAGCAGGUCAAACCCACCAUACAAUAAAAUUUUGACAGCAUGACAGGGCUAAUAUAUUACUACCCAGCCUGCAAGGGUAAAAUAAAGCAAUUCAUACAAUUCAUAAAAAACACAGCCCAGCCAGUCAUGCCAAUACAAUAACAUAAGCCAUUAAUUCAAUUUUAAAUUUACAACAUAUCAGUGGUCUCCAAUUACUCUAUUUUCAAAAUCGUUAUUUCGUUUCAAGACAAUUUAUAAAAUAUUUUCAUUUAAACUCAUUUUGUUUACAAAACAUAAAAAUUUACCAUUUGAACUCAUUUUCAUAAAAUUCACCAAAACCGAAUAAAAACAUACUUUAGAUAAUUAAAAUGAUGGUAAGGUUACUCACCGUGUCUAGAGUGAGGAUUUUCGAAAUACUCAGACUAUUGGUCCUCGGGUGCAAUUCCCUUGCCUUUAUCAGAGGACUCACCACCUUGACACAGUACAAAAUCGAGAAAUUCACCACAUUGGUACUAAAUUGAAAUUAAACUAAUUUAGACUACUAAUGCUUGAUAUGGAAUGCAAAAAUGUCUAAAUUUUUGCCUAAAUGCGGUGUUAGCCUAUUUCGGUCUUUUACCCGAUAAAUUGAUAUACGCGUCCGUUUAAACUCCAAAUUAAUUUUUUUCAGUUUCUAUACCUCAAUUGCACCCAAAUUGACUUAAUGUCCCUCAGUGUGGUGCAAAUUAUCAGUCCCGAUAACAAAUUACGAAAAUACCCCUAGUGGGUAAAAAUUUGUAUUUUUGCUCCGAAAAUUUCCAUUAUUUUUCUAGGCUCAUAAUUCAUCAUUAUUCAUCAUAAUUCCUCAAAUAACCAUCAAGAUCAGCAGCCAAUAUUCCCCUAGAAAAUUCAGCAUAAUGGGUUUCAAUGGGAGAAAAUUAUAUUUCUAGCUUAUUUUUGCUAUAUUUCAAUAUAACUUAACUAAAAUCACUUAAUUCAAUUAAAAUCAACCAAAAAUCAAGCUCAAAACUCAUCCAUGGAGGUUUGGCCAGCAUGGGUGUCCAUACCCACUUUCUAAUUUUGCAUGGAAAUGAGAAAAAAAUGCAUGGGUAGUGAAAAUCACAAGGAAAAUCAAUGAAAUUUACCUUUUUAAUGCUUGAUUUCUUGAUUUCUCUUGAUUUUCUCCAAAUUUUUCAGGUAGGAUUUUUUUUUUUUUUUUCCCCUUUUCUCCCCUGGUUUGGACAGCUGAAGAAGAUGAGAAUUCCGGAAUUUUUACCUUUUUAAAGGCUAAAAUAAUAUAAUAUUAUUUUAUUCAUUUUUUUAAUGUUUUAUUAAUUCCUUAAAUUCUAGCCAUCCAUUUGUUUCCAAAUUUUCACCAUACACUUGUCCCACAUAUCCAUAGCUUAGGUAAAAUUCUCAGACUUAUCCAAAGUCUUGGUGGAGUAAUUUUUGAAAUUUACACUUUUACCCCCGUAAAAGUCAAAAAUUACAUUUUUGCCCCAAAAAUUGAAAAAUUGCCCAUAGACAUAUUUUUCAUCCCUUAUACUCAUACCAUUCUCCAAUUUGUCAAAUUUGAUCUAAAUUCUCUCAAAAUCUCAAAUUUUGUCCGCGGGUGGCAAAAUUACGAUUUUGCCCCUACACUCUAGAAAUCACUGGAAUUAAACUUUUUCACUGCCAAACCCUCAAAUUAUACUCCAAUACUCAAAUCAUACUCCAAUAAGUCAAAUGGGGCUAAAAAAAUUCUUUUCUAAAAAUUCCCAUUGUGUCCUUGGGUGGCAAAUGACCAUUUUGCCCCUGGACAGUAAAAAUUCUAGUUUGACUUCAAAUUGAUCCUCGAACUCCAAAUCACCAUAUUAAACCAUUCUGGGACUUUAAUAUUCUUAAUUUCAUUUUAAAUUCUCUAUUUGAUCUAGUUCGAGACUUAAAUUAACUUAAUUGUACCAUUUGGUACAUUGUCGUCUUUUAACGAUUUUUCUUUCAGGGCUUUCCAAGUAUGCAAGCAUAUUGUCAAUCAUAUGAAUGACAUGGAAAGUAUUUUAUAAGGUCGGGCUUGACAACACUACCCCCCUUAAAAUAAAAUUUUGACCUCAAAAUUUCAUGUACUGAACUUAGAGAAAAUGUGGGGGUAUUGUUUUCUCAUCUAAUGCUCGACUUCUUAUGUCCUCCCCUUUAUAGGGAAUUUCGAUUUGUUCACCUCAUUUACCUCCAAUUCAACUCAAGUACUUCGCUUAUGUCUAUUAUUAUCCUUUAAAAUCAGAUCAACAAUAACCUUCACAAUUAUGAUCUCUUAUAUCGAGACACCAAGCAUGCUUCUAUUACUAUCAUUAAGCUUGAACCAUAACUCCAUCUCAAUCAUACCAAUUUCGAUCGCAUUUUAUUCUUAUUUAGGUAUACCAAUCACUAUCUUAUUACUUCAUUCCAUAUCAAACUUCUCGACUUUCAUUCAUUCAUCCUAUCCUCAUACACUAUUGUGUAGUUUACAAUAUCAUUAACACGCCAUACUCAUUCCUGUACAUAUCCUCAGCGUUCGGGAAAAUUAAUGGCUUUAAUUAUUUCUACAUAUUUCAUGUUUACUUUGCAUUUAGGAAAUUUCAAUCUUCUUAAUCCUAUUAAUCCAUCUCAUAUGGCUUAAUCGUACUAUAGAUUAUAUUCCCUUAACUAUUUCUCCAAAAUUCCUUAGGUCACCAUAAAUCGUCUUCUGAUAAGAUUCUUAAUCGUUACAUUAUCUAUACAACUCAUCAAAUAUAUUGAGUUCAAAUCUUGAACCACUAAAACCAUUAUUCAUUUAGUUGGGUACAUCACUACUCCACACAUACAUAUACAUAUACAUUCAAAUGUCUAUAUUCCUCAUUAUGUAUACGAGUCUCUGUUUUCAAAUGCCUUCAGACUAAUUUCUCUUAAUUCAUUCCCAUCCACAAUCAAGAUUCAAUAGAAUAAUCUUCAUAAUUCAUACAAAUUCUCAUCAUGCCUGUGCAUAGUUCCUCAUCAUUUAUAUACUUAUAUUCUCUUCUUAUCAUUUCCAAUUAUAUGCUUAAGUUUCCUUGUACUGUAUAUCAUUGCAUCACAAUGUCAUCUCCAUUGAAUUAUAAUCUAUUAUGCGUGUAUGUUUUAUAAUCCCAUUGGUAUCUCAAAAAUUUAUCUUGACUUGAUCAUUGCAUCUUAUGCAAUACUACAAUUCCUAAAAGUCAUCCUUAUUCCUCGAUUAUCCUUCAUGUCUCCUAUAUAUUGUAUCCUUAUUGCAUUUCGAUAUUGAUUUGUCACUUAAAACUCAGAUUCAUUUGAAUCAUGUAUGCCUCACGCAUUUUCGAAUUCCAAUUCCCAUAAUAUAUUAAGAAAGUUUCAUUAUCUGACUUCAUUAUCAAGGUUAACUUCUAUCAUCCUUUAUUCCACUCUUUCAUAUGAAUAUAACAUCAUUCUUCCUUAACUAAUUUACAAAUUGUACUUGAAAUUACAAGACUUGAAACUAAAUUCUCCUCAAGUACUUUUUAAUGUUAAUACUUAUACCACUCUCAGCUUAUAGCUUCCUUUUUAUAACUACAUAACUUAGUGCUUGCUUUCACAAGAUCCAUGGCAGAACUUCUCUUGAGUAUUUCCUUAGGGAUAUUUAUUUUAAAUUUAUGUCUCACAACAUAUGAUCAUUUAACCCGUAACUUAGCCAUUUGGCUCCUUAGCAAGUUUCAAAGUCACGCAUCUUAUGCUCAUCAUGUAUAACUUAUAAUUCUUUCUCAAGGGCGUUUAAACAUUCUUGAAACACUUAAUCACUUAUUUACUCUUUUAUACACCAAGUAUAUCAUUUCCAUAAAGGCAUGCCCAACUACUCAUGCUUCAAUUUAUCUCCAUGGGUUUCUAGCAUGUCACCUAGUUUACUUGUGUUGUUACUAAUCCUUUCCUUUCAACAAGGUCAAGACAAGAUCAGUAUAUUCUCAUAACAAUAUUCUAUAUAAACUCAUUUGCUAUAUCAUUAUUGAAAUCUUUAUUUACAUUUUCCUCACUUGCUAUUGACAUCUCUUAUCAGUAUCUCAUACAUUCAUCUAACCUUUCGCUCGCUUCCUCUUUAGUCUUUAACAAGACUUAAUCUCUUGUCUUCUUUAUUUCUUAAGAUUUGACUUCAGUCAUCAUAUUAUUCAUCUUAACACUCCACAUGUUAAUUUAUUUUUAUGUAGCCAUCUCAAAAAUUCUCUAACUUUUCUUUCUCUUACAUGCCAAUAUAUAUAAGGCAAUAAUAAAAAAAAAAAAAAAAAACUUUGCAAUUUCACUCAUCAUCUUUAUCUUAAUACCUCCCAAUGCACUUAAGACUCCAAACAACAAAGCUUAGCAUGAAAACCAAUGACCAUUCUUCAACUCGUGUGUUUCAUCUUCAUGCCACUCUCAAUUUGCUCUGCUUUCUAGCCAUUAGGGGUUCUUAACGUGACAGCGUUUGAUAGUCAGUACUGUGGCGUUGCAACGGUUUGAAUUCACUUUAUCUUAGCAACUCUUCCACCUUUAAAGCUACUACCUCAAUUAUUCACAAUCGUGUGGCUUCCCUUCGAGUCUAUACCACAAUUAGCAAGACUAACUUUCUAUCACAAGUGUGAAAUCAAAACAUUGAUUUAACGUUUUUUUUUUUUUUUGCCACUAGCAUUCAUAUAUCUUUACCAUAACAUUUAAUACGAGUUUGCUUAAGCAAAGAUCUCCAAAUUUAUUCAUAGCUACAUGUAUCUCAAAUUGCUCAUCACUUAUCAUCAGUCAAUAAAUCCCACUCGAAAAUACCCUUUCCAUAUUGUAUAGUGAUUUCACCAUAUAGCAUCACUGCACGAUGUUCCUCCAUUCUACUAUCAUGGAUACUCCAUAGAAAUUAAUUAAAAGAUUUACGUACCCUAACUAAUGCUAAUUCCAUUUAAUCAUAUCUUAAAUACUUCAAACUUGUAAAUUACAACUCCAAAUGUAUGUCCAUAUAUUGAUAAUCUUUAUAUAUUUCAUGAUCAUGAAAACUACAACUUACAAACUAGCUUUCUAUCAUACGUACUUUAUUAGAGCACUAAUUUCAACUUAUUUAAUCUACCCUUGGUGGUAUGUCAAAAUCAUCCCUGUCUCGGUUGCAAUCCAGAGGAAUCUCUCCUCUGUAUAUCCGUAUGAGCUGGUGGAGAUGGAGCAGCUACCGUAGCCCGUCCUAACUGUGGACAAUCUCUCCUAAUGUGACCCAGUUGAUCACAAUGAAAACAUCGUGCAGGCCCUCUGCACGGCCCAACAUGAUAAUUCCCACAAUUUCUGCAUCUACGUGAACUUCCUGAAACAGAGGAGUUUUUGCCCCUGUUUGGUGGCUGACUAGAAGAUACACUUAGACUUCUCCUUUUUGCUAACUCAGCUCGCAGACUCUUAUUUUCAUUCGCAAGCUUCUCGGCUCUUAAAGCCAUUCGCACCACCUCUUUAGCCACGGUUGCGUCCGACUCACCCAUAAAAGAAACACAACUAUGUUGCCUAGCCUCUUUAAGCUUCUUAGAAUCAGAAACAUCCAGCACUGGUGGUGGGACAGGAGGUGGGGAUGGUGGUACUGAAGGAGCAGCCAGAGGAACUGUAGGAAGAACUUGACCAGCCUGAGCCUGGCCAGCAAUAGCAGUAAAGAAGGCUGCUAAUGCUUGAACUGCCUCAAGAGGCAUAGCAAGAAUACUAGUAAGUGGCAGAGGAGGUGGAGGAUGUGGAGGAGUCUCGAUUUGUUCAGCAGCAGGUGCUGCCCGAAUGGUGGAUGCAGUCGAUUCCUCCUCUAUUGCACCUAACUGACGACGUUGAAAACAACCUCUUCCCCUCCCAGCUGAUCUAGUGAAAGGUGGUUGUUUGCGUCGAGGAGACAUAAUAAUCUAUAAGAGGGAACAAAGUGAGUUUAGGCAACCUCAGGCUCUAUAUGCUUAUGCAUGUAUUUUAUUCAACCUAACCUAACUUAACUCGGGGCCACACUGACACUGUAAAUUUUUAAAACAGCUUUAAAAUAACUUUAAACCCAAAACUCUAAUCUUUCAAACCAACAGCUCUGAUACCAACUUAAUUGUCACGACCCGGAACUCCCAUCGAGCCCGUGACAACCGCCGCGACGUCUCAAUUUACAUUCAUUACCCGGAAUGUCAACCGAGACCCCGCAAGGCUUUAAUAUCAGCUUCUCAUUUCCCCUGUGGGUAACUGUUUCCAAAUACCACAUUUUAAAAGAUUUUAAACUGUUUCCAACUUAAACAAAUGAAAUAAUAAUUUCCGUCUCACAGGGGUAUUUUUGUCAUUUAUCCCAAAAAUCUCAAAAAUCAUCUAAAAAUAUAGUAUGUAAGUGGAAAACACAUAUUUCUUAAUCAAAAAUAAUUUUGGAUGUCUAAAACAUUCGUUUAAAAUGGAAUUAUGACUGUUAUAAUAAAAUAAAAAUAUUCAAUAAAAUAUUCAAUUUUCACAUAAAACGAUAUUUUAAGAACACUGCAUAAAUAAUUUUUAUAGCGUAAAAGCAAAAUAAAUUCUUACAUACCGUAAUACAGAUAACCAAAGUAUAGAAUUUAAUUUACAGUGACACGUGGGCCCACGAAUGACCAAAAGUAUCAAAAGAAAUGAACCUACAGUCUUUGGAUGUGGCAAGUUCAACUGUAAUCCUCGCCGAUAUCAGUUAUCUACAAUCUAUUCUGAGCCUGAAAUGGGUGGAAAUGAGGGUGGUGAGAUUAUAAAAUCCCAGUGAGUAAACAAACAUCACUCAAAAUAUCUAAAGUCGAGUAAAAGGAGACUAUUAAAACAUUUCAUCAAACUGUAAUUUAUCAUCUUUCAACUUAUUUCAACCAAAUGAAAUCAAUUUAUUUAAAGCAAGUAAUCAGUAUGGCUUAUGAAUUUCUUAAAAAGCUUGGCUCAUGCCAAAAAUUAUUAUCAUACUCAGUUAUUUGGGAUACCUUGGCCGAGGGCUAUCCCAACUGAGUCCGCCAAGGCUAUUAGAAAGUCAUGUUUUUAUUUUGAAAACAUAGCCAUUCCUUGACGUUGGCCGAGUUCCCCUUCACGAGGUGGUUUGGCGUGAAGUGAACUCUAAAAGUUAUACCUCAGGAGUUACCCUACUCGCCUCUCCAACCGAGGUAAAAAUAUAACAGGAUUUCGUGCCCCUCUAAUAGGCUAGUCCACAGAAUCCAGCCCACUGCAGCAGGUCAAACCCACCAUACAAUAAAAUUUUGACAGCAUGACAGGGCUAAUAUAUUACUACCCAGCCUGCAAGGGUAAAAUAAAGCAAUUCAUACAAUUCAUAAAAAACACAGCCCAGCCAGUCAUGCCAAUACAAUAACAUAAGCCAUUAAUUCAAUUUUAAAUUUACAACAUAUCAGUGGUCUCCAAUUACUCUAUUUUCAAAAUCGUUAUUUCGUUUCAAGACAAUUUAUAAAAUAUUUUCAUUUAAACUCAUUUUGUUUACAAAACAUAAAAAUUUACCAUUUGAACUCAUUUUCAUAAAAUUCACCAAAACCGAAUAAAAACAUACUUUAGAUAAUUAAAAUGAUGGUAAGGUUACUCACCGUGUCUAGAGUGAGGAUUUUCGAAAUACUCAGACUAUUGGUCCUCGGGUGCAAUUCCCUUGCCUUUAUCAGAGGACUCACCACCUUGACACAGUACAAAAUCGAGAAAUUCACCACAUUGGUACUAAAUUGAAAUUAAACUAAUUUAGACUACUAAUGCUUGAUAUGGAAUGCAAAAAUGUCUAAAUUUUUGCCUAAAUGCGGUGUUAGCCUAUUUCGGUCUUUUACCCGAUAAAUUGAUAUACGCGUCCGUUUAAACUCCAAAUUAAUUUUUUUCAGUUUCUAUACCUCAAUUGCACCCAAAUUGACUUAAUGUCCCUCAGUGUGGUGCAAAUUAUCAGUCCCGAUAACAAAUUACGAAAAUACCCCUAGUGGGUAAAAAUUUGUAUUUUUGCUCCGAAAAUUUCCAUUAUUUUUCUAGGCUCAUAAUUCAUCAUUAUUCAUCAUAAUUCCUCAAAUAACCAUCAAGAUCAGCAGCCAAUAUUCCCCUAGAAAAUUCAGCAUAAUGGGUUUCAAUGGGAGAAAAUUAUAUUUCUAGCUUAUUUUUGCUAUAUUUCAAUAUAACUUAACUAAAAUCACUUAAUUCAAUUAAAAUCAACCAAAAAUCAAGCUCAAAACUCAUCCAUGGAGGUUUGGCCAGCAUGGGUGUCCAUACCCACUUUCUAAUUUUGCAUGGAAAUGAGAAAAAAAUGCAUGGGUAGUGAAAAUCACAAGGAAAAUCAAUGAAAUUUACCUUUUUAAUGCUUGAUUUCUUGAUUUCUCUUGAUUUUCCCCAAAUUUUUCAGGUAGGAUUCUUGUUUUUUUUUUUCCCCUUUUCUCCCCUGGUUUGGACAGCUGAAGAAGAUGAGAAUUCCGGAAUUUUUACCUUUUUAAAGGCUAAAAUAAUAUAAUAUUAUUUUAUUCAUUUUUUUAAUGUUUUAUUAAUUCCUUAAAUUCUAGCCAUCCAUUUGUUUCCAAAUUUUCACCAUACACUUGUCCCACAUAUCCAUAGCUUAGGUAAAAUUCUCAGACUUAUCCAAAGUCUUGGUGGAGUAAUUUUUGAAAUUUACACUUUUACCCCCGUAAAAGUCAAAAAUUACAUUUUUGCCCCAAAAAUUGAAAAAUUGCCCAUAGACAUAUUUUUCAUCCCUUAUACUCAUACCAUUCUCCAAUUUGUCAAAUUUGAUCUAAAUUCUCUCAAAAUCUCAAAUUUUGUCCGCGAGUGGCAAAAUUACGAUUUUGCCCCUACACUCUAGAAAUCACUGGAAUUAAACUUUUUCACUGCCAAACCCUCAAAUUAUACUCCAAUACUCAAAUCAUACUCCAAUAAGUCAAAUGGGGCUAAAAAAAUUCUUUUCUAAAAAUUCCCAUUGUGUCCUUGGGUGGCAAAUGACCAUUUUGCCCCUGGACAGUAAAAAUUCUAGUUUGACUUCAAAUUGAUCCUCGAACUCCAAAUCACCAUAUUAAACCAUUCUGGGACUUUAAUAUUCUUAAUUUCAUUUUAAAUUCUCUAUUUGAUCUAGUUCGAGACUUAAAUUAACUUAAUUGUACCAUUUGGUACAUUGUCGUCUUUUAACGAUUUUUCUUUCAGGGCUUUCCAAGUAUGCAAGCAUAUUGUCAAUCAUAUGAAUGACAUGGAAAGUAUUUUAUAAGAUCGGGCUUGACAGUUAGAGUACUGUGGUGGCGUGUCAGAGUAAAUAACGAGCGACUGGCCAAUGAAAAUAGUUAGAGACACCCCUGAACAAAUAGCGACUUAAUAUCUCGUUGUUACAAGGUGAGUGAACUUGCAUUUCAAAAUUUCUUUGGGAAAUAUAAUUGUAUUUGGAUGAAACAUUUGAGUGAUUUUAUCCAACUUUUCUUUAAAAAUGUGUGCCGGGGAACAAGCCCUUGAAAAAAUAUUUUGAUGUUGUGAAAAUGUGAAAUGUGAGAAAGGAUGAAUCCAUGUGCUCCUAUAUUAUGUUGGUAUGUAUAUAUAUGAAUAUAUGUUGUACAUUAAUGAAUAAUGUUAUGUGAUGAUGAUGACCCGACUAUGUGCAAGUAGGGAGUGUUCAUAAGCCGAUGAUGACCCGACUAUGUACAAGCAAGGAGUGCACAUAAGCCGAUGAUGACCCAACUAUGUGCGAGUAGAGAGUGCACAUGAGCUGAUGAUGAUGAUAAGGCUAUAUGCGAGAAGUGAGUGCACAUGACGAUGAAUGAAGUAGGAGUGGUAGACGUGUUUAUAUAUGUUUAUAUAGGUAGAUGUGAUAGAAAGUUUAUGAUUAUAAUAUGUGAUUGAAAUGAAUAAUGAGAAAAAUUUUGUUUACACUGCCUUGCUUGGUUAAUUGCUAGAAAUUUCCUUUCUUUCCAAUUUCAUGCUGAAUACGGUUCCUUCAUCAUUAAAUGAUUUUACAACCAAGGGUUUAAUGGAGGGAUUUUAAUGAGAACUUGAACUAAAUGGCAUUAUUUUCAAAUAAGUGCAUCAUGUUUCCUAAACCAUUCCUUGUCAUUGUUUGUUCCCUUCCUAUGCUUACUCACUCAGUUUGUACUCACGUUUUCAAAAUUCAUGUUUUAGGUUUCUUGAGUCAAAGGUGGUUGGGUCCUAGGACAAGGUGUUCCUCCUUAUCCAUUGCUCGAUAGGUUUACCAUGACAUUAAAUGUUAGCAACCGUGUCCAGAGUCACUCCGCUGAUGGUUAAGUUCUAAUUAAGUGUAUAUGAAUACUUGUUGUGAAAUGAUGAGGUUCAUUUGUCAAACUAUAUAUGUGUAUAAUGGUUGAUGAUGCCAUUUUGAAUGCAUAGUUGAGGUUUAUGAAUUGUUUUCAAAGAAAUUAUAUUUGAACGCUACAGAUUUUGAAUUUUAAAAGAGUAUGGAUUAAUGUAUAAGAUUUUAUAAAUAGGCUUGCUUGGGCUUAGUGGGUUGAGCCCAUUGGGCCCUUGCAUCGGUCAUGGCACGAAAAUUAGGCUAUGAUACUGUAGCUCUCAAAACACACCAUUUUGGUGCUUUAAUGGCCACAUAAGAGUCUUCAAAACGACGUCGUUUUGAAAACUCUAACCCUAAGUAUUUAAGGUUUUUUUCUCCCUUCUUUUCUUAUUUUUUUUCUCUCUUUUUCUCUCUCUACCUGUGGCCCUCUCUGUGCAUUCAUUUUCUCUCAAUAGCCUCUCUGUCGAUCUAUUUCUUUUGAUCGAAGACCAGAACCGGUGUCUCACCCAAAUCGGAUUCUCCCUUUUUUCCAUUAAUACUCAAGCCGAC